AAGACAUGCAAGUCGCACGGAGGUAGCAAUACCUUAGUGGCGAACGGGUGAGUAAUGUAUCGCUAAUGUACCCCGGACUCUGGGAUAGCCAGCCGAAAGGUUGGGUAAUACCAGAUGAUAUAUCCCGAUAGCAUUAUCGGGAUCUCAAAGGUCCGCCGGUCUGGGAGCAGGCGAUAUCGUAUCAGCUAGUUGGUGAGGUAACCGCUCACCAAGGCGACCACCCGUUACCCGACUGAGAGGUUGGCCCGGCACAUUUUGGACUGAGACACUGCCCAGACUCCCUACGGGAGGCAGCAAUGGGAUCU
rnacentral:sRNA from 1 species